rnacentral:misc_RNA from 1 species
ACUAUGGAUCGAUUUAAGAUGGUUUUUGAAACAAAAUCAAGCCGGAGAAUGUUUACACUUGUGGCGUCCUUUGUUGUGAUAUUCCUUAUUGUAUACUAUCUGACUAGGUAAUCAAUCGAAGAUGAUGAUACAGUUGCUAGCAUCGUGAAAGUGGAUCAUUUUGUGGUAACUGUAAUCAAUGGUACUUCCUGUUGUUAGAUUUUAGGCAUGUUUAUAUGAAGAAGUUGAAAUAUGUCAAAAUGCGUUGAAUGUAUGGAA